UGAGGAAUAUUGGUCAAUGGGCGAGAGCCUGAACCAGCCAAGUAGCGUGCAGGAUGACGGCCCUAUGGGUUGUAAACUGCUUUUAUGUGGGGAUAAAGUGAGCUACGUGUAGUUUAUUGCAGGUACCACAUGAAUAAGGACCGGCUAAUUCCGUGCCAGCAGCCGCGGUAAUACGGAAGGUCCAGGCGUUAUCCGGAUUUAUUGGGUUUAAAGGGAGCGUAGGCCGUGGAUUAAGCGUGUUGUGAAAUGUAGACGCUCAACGUCUGACUUGCAGCGCAUACUGGUUUCCUUGAGUACGCACAACGUUGGCGGAAUUCGUCGUGUAGCGGUGAAAUGCUUAGAUAUGACGAAGAACUCCGAUUGCGAAGGCAGCUGACGGGAGCGCAACUGACGCUGAAGCUCGAAGGUGCGGGUAUCGAACAGGAUUAGAUACCCUGGUAGUCCGCACAGUAAACGAUGGAUGCCCGCUGUUGGUACCUAGUAUCAGCGGCUAAGCGAAAGCAUUAAGCAUCCCACCUGGGGAGUACGCCGGCNCGGU
rnacentral:rRNA from 1 species